rnacentral:rRNA from 1 species
AGUGAACGCUGGCGGUAGGCCUAACACAUGCAAGUCGAACGGCAGCACAGUAAGAGCUUGCUCUUACGGGUGGCGAGUGGCGGACGGGUGAGGAAUACAUCGGAAUCUACUUUUUCGUGGGGGAUAACGUAGGGAAACUUACGCUAAUACCGCAUACGACCUACGGGUGAAAGCAGGGGAUCUUCGGACCUUGCGCGAUUGAAUGAGCCGAUGUCGGAUUAGCUAGUUGGCGGGGUAAAGGCUCACCAAGGCGACGAUCCGUAGCUGGUCUGAGAGGAUUAUCAGCCGCACUAGAACUGAGACACGAUCCAGACUCCUACGAGAGGCAGCAGUGGGGAAUAUUGGACAAUGGGCGCAAGCCUGAUCCAGCCAUACCGCGUGAGUGAAGAAGGCCUUCGGGUUGUAAAGCCCUUUUGUUGGGAAAGAAAAGCAGCAGGUUAAUACCCCGCUGUUCUGACGGUACCCAAAGAAUAAGCACCGGCUAACUUCGUG